UACAGAGGUCUCAACCGUUGUUCGGAUUCAUUGGGCGUAAAGGGUGCGUAGGCGGUCGCGCAAGUCGGAUGUGAAAUCUCAGGGCUCAACCCUGAAACUGCAUUCGAUACUGCGUGGCUAGAGUACUGGAGAGGAGAAUGGAAUUCCUGGUGUAGCGGUGAAAUGCGCAGAUAUCAGGAAGAACACCCGUGGCUAAGGCGGUUCUCUAGUACGGUACUGACGCUGAGACGCGAAAGCGUGGGGAGCGAACAGG
rnacentral:rRNA from 1 species